rnacentral:rRNA from 1 species
GUCUACGGCCAUACCACCCUGAACGCGCCCGAUCUCGUCUGAUCUCGGAAGCUAAGCAGGGUCGGGCCUGGUUAGUACUUGGAUGGGAGAAUGUGGAAUCCGUAGAAA